rnacentral:rRNA from 1 species
AUUGAACGCUGGCGGCAUGCCUUACACAUGCAAGUCGAACGGCAGCACGGGAGCAAUCCUGGUGGCGAGUGGCGAACGGGUGAGUAAUAUAUCGGAACGUGCCCAGUCGUGGGGGAUAACGUAGCGAAAGCUACGCUAAUACCGCAUACGAUCUAUGGAUGAAAGCGGGGGAUCGCAAGACCUCGCGCGAUUGGAGCGGCCGAUAUCAGAUUAGGUAGUUGGUGAGGUAAAGGCUCGCCAAGCCGACGAUCUGUAGCUGGUCUGAGAGGACGACCAGCCACACUGGGACUGAGACACGGCCCAGACUCCUACGGGAGGCAGCAGUGGGGAAUUUUGGACAAGUGGCGCAAGCCUGAUCCAGCAAUGCCGCGUGCAGGAUGAAGGCU